CCCCUGGUGGCUUAGUUGAUAAAGAAUCUGCCUGCAAUGCAGGAAACCCAGGUUCAAUCCCUGGGUUGGGAA
rnacentral:tRNA from 1 species